rnacentral:tRNA from 1 species
GAUUGUGUAGCGUAGUGGUAGGGUGCGGUGUUGUUGGUACCGUGGUCAUGGGUUCGAGUCCCAGAGGCGCCC